ensembl:misc_RNA Metazoa_SRP Metazoan signal recognition particle RNA
GCUGGGCAUGGUGCCGCAUGCCUGUAAUCCCAACUACUUGGGAGGCUGAGGCAUGAGAAUUGCUUGAACCUGGGAGGCGGAGGUUGCAGUGAGCUGAGAUUGACCACUGCACUCUAGCCUGGGUGAUAGAGUGAGACUCAGUCUCUC